rnacentral:rRNA from 1 species
CAGCAGCCGCGGUAAAACGAAGGGGGCUAGCGUUGUUCGGAUUUACUGGGCGUAAAGGGUGCGUAGGCGGAUUGUUAAGUCAGGGGUGAAAUCCCGAGGCUCAACCUCGGAACUGCCUUUGAUACUGGCGAUCUUGAGUCCGGGAGAGGUGAGUGGAACUGCGAGUGUAGAGGUGAAAUUCGUAGAUAUUCGCAAGAACACCGGUGGCGAAGGCGGCUCACUGGCUCGGUACUGACGCUGAGGCACGAAAGCGUGGGGAGCAAACAGGAUUAGAUACCCGGGUAGUCCCUGUCUCUUAUAC